UACGUAGGGUGCGAGCGUUAAUCGGAAUUACUGGGCGUAAGGCGUGCGCAGGCGGUUCGUUGUGUCGGCGGUGAAAGCCCCGGGCUUAACCUGGGAAUGGCAGUGGAUACUGGAAAGCUAGAGUGCGGUAGAGGGUAGUGGAAUUCCCGGUGUAGCAGUGAAAUGCGUAGAGAUCGGGAGGAACACCAGUGGCGAAGGCGGCUACCUGGACCAGCACUGACACUGAGGCGCGAAAGCUAGGGGAGCAAACGGG
rnacentral:rRNA from 1 species